UCCCUGGUGGUCCAGUGGUUAGGACUUGGCACUUUCAUGGCCAGGGCCCGGGUUCGAUUCCUGGUCGGGGAA